GGAAAUAAAAGUCGUAACAAGGUUUCCGUAGGUGAACCUGCGGAAGGAUCAUUAAUGUGUUUGGGCCUCACGGCUCUUCAUUCCGACGCUGUGCGCCUUCGGGCUGCACGCUGAGGGAGCAUAUAUCCACCCCUGUGCACACACACGGUGGCGAGCUGGGUAACGGCUCGCCGCUGAUCUUUACACACGUCUAAAAGUCAUUGUAUGUUUAUUUGAGAUAAAAACACAACUUUCAGCAACGGAUCUCUUGGCUCUC
rnacentral:misc_RNA from 1 species